rnacentral:rRNA from 1 species
GGAAAAGAAACUAACAAGGAUUCCCCUAGUAACUGCGAGUGAAGCGGGAAAAGCUCAAAUUUAAAAUCUGGCAGUCUUUGAUUGUCCGAGUUGUAAUCUAGAGAAGUGUUACCCGCGUUGGACCGUGUACAAGUCUCCUGGAAUGGAGCGUCAUASAGGGUGAGAAUCCCGUCUUUGACACGGACUCCCAAGGCUUUGUGGUGCGCUCUCAAAGAGUCGAGUUGUUUGGGAAUGCAGCUCAAAAUGGGUGGUAAAUGCCAUCUAAAGCUAAAUACAGGCGAGAGACCGAUAGCGAACAAGUACCGUGAGGGAAAGAUGAAAAGAACUUUGGAAAGAGAGUUAAACAGUACGUGAAAUUGCUGAAAGGGAAACGCUUGAAGUCAGUCGCGUUGGCUGGAAAUCAACCUUGCUCUUGUUGGGUGUACUUUCCAGUUGAUGGGUCAGCAUCAGUUUUGACCAGUGGAAAAAGGCGUAGGAAAUGUGGCUUCUUCGGAAGUGUUAUAGUCCUGCGUUGUAUACAUUGGUUGGGACUGAGGAACUCAGCACGCCGAAAGGCCGGGGCUCGCCCACGUACGUGCUUAGGAUGCUGGCAAAAUGGCUUUAAUCGACCCGUCUUGAAACACGGACCAAGGAGUCUAACAUGCCUGCGAGUGUUUGGGUGGUAAACCCGAGCGCGCAAUGAAAGUGAAAGUUGAGAUCCCUGUCGUGGGGAGCAUCGACGCCCUGACCAGACCUUUUGUGACGGAUCAGCGGUAGAGCAUGUAUGUUGGGACCCGAAAGAUGGUGAACUAUGCCUGAAUAGGGUGAAGCCAGAGGAAACUCUGGUGGAGGCUCGUAGCGAUUCUGACGUGCAAAUCGAUCGUCAAAUUUGGGUAUAGGGGCGAAAGACUAAUCGAACCAUCUAGU